CUCACACUAAUACAUACAGCGGUAGCGGAAACAACCGAUAACCGGACAAGGCUGUCUAGGCUGUAAAUCAUGUCAGUCUAGGCUUUAAGUCAAGGUGUGACGUGUGAACAUCGAUUUUACAGAUGAAUGCUGAAUCAGGGUAUCAAGAUACUGCAAGCGGUUCAACCAGUCGGUCAGCAAACAUUGGCAAGAGGCAGCGCAACACUGCAAAGAGGCAGCAAAACAGUGGAAAGAGUCAGCAAAACAGUGGAAAAGGGCAGCAAAACAGGGGAAAGAGUCAGCAAAACAGUGGAAAUAGGCAGCAAAACAGUGGAAAGAGGCAGCAAAACAUAUCCGCAGAGACUGUAUGUAAGAAAUCAGAGGAAGAUAGCGUGAAAAGAAGUGUAAGAGGAAGAACAAAAUUUGUCGGCAGACGGAUAUUUCAUUUGUGGAUUAGUGAUGAAGGUAGUGGCCAAAGAAAGUGGUUCUAAGGAAACGUUCUAACGGUUUUAUCUGGUUCUGACGGGGACCCCAAAGCAGAGUAUGAAAUUUUGUACGAUGAUGAUGAUCAGCCAUAUGCAGUUGAUAAUCUGCAGCAGGUCUUUAAAGAUGGAAAUGUGAAGUUUAUAGAUUGUUGAGGUUAAGCAACACAAAGGAAGUUGGCAGUUUUUUGUGAAGGCAUAGACUUGAAGAUGUCUACAGAGUAAUACAUGAGCUGGCCACACAGAGGUGAUUAUUUCAUUAUAAGUCAUAAUAAUCCCAAUAUGUAUUUAUCCUUUUGAAUGUCCCGUCAUAGUGUACGUCCGUGAAUAGUUUUCACCGUUUAUGAGUAACGUCAACAGUAAAUGCCAAAAGGCCAUACACUUAUAAUAUAUGUGUAAAGGUAAAUUGUAAUCCAUAUUGUAACUAAUAGAUAAGGAAAUAGUAUAUGUCCUUUUUCCAUUUCAUUAUUUGUUAUUAUAUAAUCCCCGGUUAAACGUAUGUAUUUUACAGCUAAGUGGUAAUUGUCAGAUUGUACUCGUAUAUGUUAUAUAUGUAUCGAUAGCGUUAUGUGUAUACGUAGUUAAGUAUUGUAUGUUUGUAUCGUUGCAGGGUAAGAUUUACCUACAAUAAAACCACUGGUUCGUUA